AGAAACGGAGGAGACUAAUAUUAACAAGACCUCGUCGUGGAUAGUCGUUAAGGACAGGGGUCUUGAAGACCUUGACAAGGCUGCCUACAGACGCCCUAAGGACGGCAAAUUCAUUUGCCGUGUUGGACGACAAGUGCUGUGGUGAGCCUGCAGUUCACUCGAAACGGAAAUCGGCGAGGAGCGGCGAAGCGCAGACCCCUCAGGCUGCUCAGAAAGUUGAGGUACCAACGCGAAUUUUGGUUGUGGGAGAUUCCCAGGUGGUAAAUUGUUUCGGCUGCUACAGCUCUCCAGCCCAAGUUGUUGACUGGCUAGUCUUUGACUGCCUCCCAACAUGUGAGGUCCUGAGCUGAUGUACCCUAUGGCGAAGAGUGAGGCACUAGUUUCCUGAAGUAAUGUAUAGCAUGAGAUGGCACCCAUUCUAAACGGCAGCCGGCACCAACUCUGGCCGACGUUGGAGUGGACAAGACCCAGAUCCUGUGGGGAGGAAGUCUACACUAAACUGUAAAAGGGUGUUGGUUUUUCUCACUGAAGCUACCACUCGUGCAAUUUUGAUUGGUGAUUGUGACUUAGUCCUCCUCGUGAUCUACGGCAAGAAAGUGCAGUGGGCUGUUGGACCACCUGGACAGCGAGGCGCGAAAGUUGGAAGUGUUUCCACCAUUACGUCAGAUACUCCUCUGCCGCAGAUUUGGAAGAUUUGCAAUAUUGUGGGUUGUUGAAGGUCCUUCCAAGAUAACUUCAGGAACAGUUGCAGAACAAUCGCUGGAAGUGUUAAAUGCUACAGAAAGUAGCUUAGUUGUCAGAAUUAGAGGGCCAAAAAUAUUGAUGGGAAAGUCGACCUUCAGCCCUGAGUUUGAAGGUGUUAAUUGCUUGACAUUGUUAAUUAGGUGGUAUGGAAGAUUACAAUGUCAUCAAAGCAUUGACUGGCUUCAGUGUGGUUGUUCUACUCUGCAAAUCUAUGAAAGUUGGUGGAUGUUGUCCUUGGUACUCUGGUUUUCCCUGGCCUUUUGUUGAUCUUUGAGUCUUCAGUGGAUUGCAUCUAGGAGGAGCAGCUUCCCACAACCUGAAAUAGACAAUAGUCAAUGUUACACUGUAAACUAUUAAAUAAAUAAUGCAAUGAAA